rnacentral:rRNA from 1 species
CUACGGAGGGUGCAAGCGUUACUCGGAAUCACUGGGCGUAAAGCGCGCGCAGGCGGCUAUUUAAGUUGGAUGUGAAAGCCUACGGCUCAACCGUAGAACUGCAUCCAAAACUAUUUAGCUAGAGUGUGGGAGAGGAAGAUGGAAUUAGUUGUGUAGGGGUAAAAUCCGUAGAGAUAACUAGGAAUACUAAAAGCGAAGGCAAUCUUCUGGAACACUACUGACGCUGAGGCGCGAAAGCGUGGGGAGCAAACGGGAGUAGAAACCCUAGUAGUCC